GACGAACGCUGGCGGCGUGCUUAACACAUGCAAGUCGAACGGUAAGGCCCUUCGGGGUACACGAGUGGCGAACGGGUGAGUAACACGUGGGUGAUCUGCCCUGCACUUCGGGAUAAGCCUGGGAAACUGGGUCUAAUACCGGAUAGGACUCCGGACUGCAUGGUCUGGGGUGGAAAGCUUUUGCGGUGUGGGAUGGGCCCGCGGCCUAUCAGCUUGUUGGUGGGGUGAUGGCCUACCAAGGCGACGACGGGUAGCCGGCCUGAGAGGGUGACCGGCCACACGGGGACUGAGAUACGGCCCAGACUCCUACGGGAGGCAGCAGUGGGGAAUAUUGCACAAUGGGCGCAAGCCUGAUGCAGCGACGCCGCGUGAGGGAUGACGGCCUUCGGGUUGUAAACCUCUUUCAGCAUCGACGAAGCGAAAGUGACGGUAGGUGCAGAAGAAGGACCGGCUAACUACGUGCCAGCCGCCGCGGUAA
rnacentral:rRNA from 1 species